UACGGGGGGGGCAAGCGUUGCUCGGAAUCACUGGGCGUAAAGCGCACGUGGGCGGACUCUUAAGUCGGUGGUGAAAUCCUGGAGCUCAACUCCAGAACUGCCUUCGAUACUGAGAGUCUCGAGUCCGGGAGAGGUGAGUGGAACUGCGAGUGUAGAGGUGAAAUGCGUAGAUGUUGGGAAGAACACCUGAGGCGAAGGCGGGUUGCUGGGCCGACACUGACGCUGAUGCGCGAAAGCCAGGGGAGCGAACGGG
rnacentral:rRNA from 1 species